GCUCUGGUCGAGGAUAAAAGACCCCUCUGACCGAGGUAAACGUAGUCGGUUCUGUGUUACCUCUUUUUUUUUGGAGGCACACGUUAAAGAAUGUUCCGCAUUGUGAGUCUAACACCAGUUGUAAUGAACUUUUACAACCGGUAGCGCUGGAUCCCUUGGCACGUCAUUCGAUGAAGACCGUUGCAAAUUGCGAUAAAGUGAUGUGAUGCGCAAGUCCACCACUUAUACGUGAAUCAUCGAGUUGUUGAACGCAUUGCACCGCGCCCUAAACCGGCUGCGGUAUGCCCCUUUGAGCGUCAUUGUAUUCCUUCGGGAGUCCUUUUACAGGACCCGAGUUCGGAGUCCUCGGUCCUCUUGUGGAUCGUGUUCUCUUAGAUGCGUCGUGCCGAUUGCCUGAUGGGUUCUCUAAUGCCUAAGCGUGGAGUUCCCUUCCAAGUGCAGAGGUGCUGGACCGGGUCUUGAGCUCGCGUCACCAAGUCCGCCGUCGCGCGGUACUACAACGCAUGACCUCAUUGGGGUAGGACAACCCGCUAGACUUAAGCAUAUUAAUCAGCGGAGGAAAAGAAACUAACCAGGAUUCCCUCAGUAACUGCGAGUGAAGCGGGAUCGGCUCAAUGUGUGAAUCUGGCUUGGGGUAAUUCCCGUGUCCGAGUUGUGCACUAUGGACGCUUUGUCUGCGUUUGUAAUGGCAGUGGAAGUCCGUUGAAACACGGCACCUGAGAGGGUCACAGUCCUGUACUACUUGCCUGCACUCGCGCCAAUGACAAGCACUCCUCGAGUCGCGUAGUUUUGUAAUGCUGCGCCAAGUGGGAGGUAGAGACCUUCUAAGGCUAAAUAUGAUGACGUGACCGAUAGCACACAAGUACCGCGAGGGAAAGGUGAAAAGCAACCAUGAAAAAUGGGUUGAAACAGUAGUGAAAGCGCUACCGGGAUAAGGGCUAUCGGGUG
rnacentral:rRNA from 1 species